UUUAUGCGUUAGAUCUUACUCUUUGUUUGUGUAUGUUGUAGGGGGUCUGAGGUUAUGGUCUGAAGUACACCGCAGCAGGUGCAGACUGUAGGCCAGGGGUGUUGAGCAUGUCUUGGAGGGCCCCAAGGGGUCUGCAGGGCCUGGGGGUGAAGGAAACCUCCCCUGAGAGUGAGAAAUAAUGGCCUAAAAACUCAGCUUGAGGGAGCUCAGAAGAAGGCCAUGUAGUCCAGCAUCUCCAGUUCAAAGCUGUGUGAGCCAGGAGUUCAAACCAGGGGACUCUCAAGUCAGGUCUGGCUCUGGCUUAUGGCACGACACUUCACUGAGGGAGCAUCGGUUUGAGAAGGAUGACGGCCCUGCUGUUCCUUGUAGGUGGCUGAACAGAUGCAGCUGUGACCUGGCUUGUCUCAAGAUCUGGGAUUUGGGGAGGAUUCAGGGUAAAUGCUCAGUACAACAUGCAGGAGCUGUAAUCUGUCUUGACCAGCCCAUCCUUUAACUUAAAAAAACCCCAAACGCCAGGGAGCUGAUGAACACCCCCAUCCUUUUCCUUCCUUUCCGAGUGCCUGGGGUGGGCACAUGCUCCUCGUCACACUGAGAGGGACGUCCCCAAUGUGGGUGGCUGUGUCCCCCCCUACCCCACCGUCCCCGCACCGUACCCCAUGGCCGUGUGCUGGGACAGCUUGCCAGGGACACAUGGGAGGCUGUUCCAGUAGCUGCACACAGACCCCAGGGUCACGCUGCCUGUGUCACUCGGCAAAAUCAGGAGGCUUAAUGAAGUCAUCGAGAGAUGCGUUGGGUAUCCCUGACUGCAGGAUUUGGCCCAGAUAAUCCAUCUGCCAACGAACAUGUUGCUGCACAAACCUCAGUAAUCAAGAACGCUGUAUCAGCGCUGGAGCCUCCCUGGAGGCUGCGUGUCCUACAUAGCCACAAAAUGGCAGGAGGGGGUUACGUGACAACCUAUAAACCUGCUCUCAUUCUGGGUGACGGACGGCGACUCGCUGGAACCAGAGCAGAUGGACCGAUCCUGCACUGUCCGGGCUUGGUUUUCAACCAGUGUCAGCAUCAUGACCCUGAAGUCAGCUGUGCACGU